rnacentral:tRNA from 1 species
CUGAGAAAGAACUGCCUGAAAAUGUUUCACUGCAAGGGAAGUAGCAACAUUGUAGCUUCACUCAAAACAGCACUUGAGAUAGCCUGCUGUAUUCAUUUUAUCCACUGCUUCCUUUUUGUUUAUGUGGGGAAUUAGCUCAAAUGGUAGAGCGCUCGCUUAGCAUGCGAGAAGUAGCGGGAUCGAUGCCCGCAUUCUCCAAAACUUUUCUCGUCCCAGCGCGUGGCAAAAUUUAAGUAAACGUGAGUAAACAUUACUUUGUGGCGAUAUUUCGCGUUAUAGCUUAUACCACGCGUUAUAGCGGUAGCCUGAUAUAGUAAAGAUUUACUUUCCUUAACUUUUCCUGCUCAUCUCUAUGCAGGUCUCCCAUGAAAAAGUAGUCUUCAAUGGGACAACCAGGCUGUCCUGUUUCCCUCCCCUUUGGCACCAGCUCCUGACACAACAAAAGAGGAUUGCUCUGAAGAGUUCCUGCUGGAUACAGGUAAUUCAAAUGAUAUCACACACAUAAUUAUGUGUGCAGGCACUAACUCAUUCUAACACACUGGGCCCAUCAAGAGAUGAGGUUGCCUUUUCAUCAUGGACCACGGCCCAUGGACAGAGCCCAUUAGAACUGCCAGUGAUGUCCUACUGGUCAAGCACCACGGGGAGGAAGAGACCCUGAAGUGGACGCACAGCUGUGACAUUAUGUUACUGCAGAGAGUAACGUAAUGCCACAUCCCCUUCCACCUGCACUUCCACAGCAGAAAACCUCACCAAUUCAAGGAUACCAUUUGAGGAUUUUGCUGCGGCUGCCUUCUUUCAAUGGGAGCUGGAGGCCUCGAUGCAGAGGAAGGAGUGAGGAAUGGACGAACUGAGAAAAGAAAAAAUCCUUAGAGCAGCAUCCCUCCGGCCGUCUGUACAGGUUCUGCCACCAGCCGCUGAAACAAGGCCCCAACAGCCCUCACACACAUACCGGCUUUCCUUGAGUGGCAGGAAAAGAUCUACUGCCUAGCCAAAGUGUUUUCCCUGUACCUUGCACUGGGCUUUGGAGGGAGCUCCAACAGUCUGCCUUUUAUGAGACUGAAAGGUGGAGAUGGAGGGUGAAGAAGGGGGAGUGACUCUACAGACACACACACAGAAAUAAAUAGGAGCUGAAAAUCUAUUUCCAUUAAUGGAAGUGGUUUGGACUCGUUUGAUUUGUAUUUAUUUCACAGGUACUGUCCAUUCUUUUACAUUACUGUACAUACAUUGCUGGAUAUCACUGUAUAUAUUAUUGUCCAUUACUAUUUUGUGUAAAUGUUACACAAAGGCCAACCAUUUAUUCUAAUCGCGGUGAAUAUGUCUUGUAUCAUAAACUAAUUGCUAUAGUUAGUGUGUGAAUAAGUUUGUUAUAUGAAGGGUUGUGCUCCAACACUAUCAUAACUAUGGCUUUGAUUUCAUUCGAGUAAACCUCAAAGUAAUAUUCUCUAUGAGCUGCUUUAGAGUUGUCUUUAUGAGUAAGACACAUGCCUUUCCAUUGUGCUCUAACACUCAUAAAUAUUCCUUUGAUUUCAUUCUAUUAAACCUCAACGUAAAGCAAUCUUCUCUUGUUUCUAAUAUUGUCUUUAUAUGCAUCAAAGGGAAAGGAAAGGGGGUUACCUAGUCAAUUGUACAACUGAAUGCAUU